UGCUGCCAGCCCCGCGGAGUGCUGAGCAGGGAUCUGCAGAAAUGCCACCUCCUGGUGACAGAUCUGACCCAGCUUAGACGGCGUGGGCAGUGCCAGGGUGUCCUGUCUCUGGGUGUCAGCCCGGCUUAGUCACAGCUAACACACCCACGAGACACACUGUGUCCGCAGGUGGAUCUCCACCUGUGUGGGAGGAGGUGAUGCUGCGUGGCUGUAAGCCUGACCCCUGCGGACACAUUGCCACGUCGUCAGCACAGGGGGAACUGCAGCACGGGGAAUGGUGAGGACACAUCCAAGGUCUUUAAAGAACUUGUCUACCCUGUCUCCUCUAAAGAAUGGAGCUGAAAAUACUCUUGCCUUUCCCUGUCUACCUCCUCACUUAAAGUAAAGGGCUGCAGACUUCUGGGUCCCUGUUAGUUUUGGUGGAGUUGCUCCUGCAGAGUCCCUGUGAAUUUGCAGCCAGCCAGUGUCCCACUGAAAGCCACUGCACAUGAAUGUAAGAGAGCUCUCCAAUGUAUUAG